UACGUAGGUGGCGAGCGUUGUCCGGAUUUACUGGGCGUAAAGAGCGCGCAGGCGGUCGUUCAAGUCGCGUGUGAAAGCCCCCGGCUCAACUGGGGAGGGUCACGCGAUACUGAUCGACUCGAAGGCAGGGAGAGGGUAGUGGAAUUCCCGGUGUAGUGGUGAAAUGCGUAGAUAUCGGGAGGAACACCAGUGGCGAAGGCGGCUCUCUGG
rnacentral:rRNA from 1 species